rnacentral:rRNA from 1 species
UAUACGGUGAAACUGCGAAUGGCUCAUUAAAUCAGUUAUCGAAAAUUUGAUAGUACCUUACUACAUGGAUACCUGUGGUAAUUCUAGAGCUAAUACAUGCUUUUUUCCUCGACUUCGGAAGGGGUGUAUUUAUUAGAUAAAAAACCAAUGCCCUUCAAAACUCCUUGGUGAAUCAUAAUAACUUAACGAAUCGCAUGGCCUUGCGCCGGCGAUGGUUCAUUCAAAUUUCUGCCCUAUCAACUUUCGAUGGUAGGAUAGUGGCCUACCAUGGUGGCAACGGGUAACGGGGAAUUAGGGUUCGAUUCCGGAGAGGGAGCCUGAGAAACGGCUACCACAUCCAAGGAAGGCAGCAGGCGCGCAAAUUACCCAAUCCCGACACCCCCAGGUAGUGACAAUAAAUACUGAUACGGGGCUCUUUUGGGUCUCGUAAUUGGAAUGAGUACAAUCUAAAUCCCUUAACGAGGAACAAUUGGAGGGCAAGUCUGGUGCCAGCUGCCGCGGUAAUUCCAGCUCCAAUAGCGUAUAUUAAAGUUGUUGCAGUUAAAAAGCUCGUAGUUGAACCUUGGGUCUGGCUGGCCGGUCCGCCUCACCGCGAGUACUGGUCCGGCUGGACCUUUCCUUCUGGGGAACCUCAUGGCCUUCACUGGCUGUGGGGGGAACCAGGACUUUUACUGUGUUUUUUUUAGAGUGUUCAAAGCAGCCUUUGCUCGAAUACAUUAGCAUGGAAUAA